GGCUUGGUAAUGAAGUGGUCAAACAUGCUGGCUUUAAGGGUUUUACCGUUUUACUCCAGUCCUUCGGGUUCGUGGGUUCGAACCCCACCCAAGCCA